rnacentral:rRNA from 1 species
CGCGUAGGCGGUUCGUACAGUCAGACGUGAAAUUCCCGGGCUCAACCUGGGGGCUGCGUUUGAUACGUACGGACUUGAGUCCGGAAGAGGGUGGUGGAAUUCCCAGUGUAGAGGUGAAAUUCGUAGAUAUUGGGAAGAACACCGGUGGCGAAGGCGGCCACCUGGUCCGGUACUGACGCUGAGGCGCGAAAGCGUGGGGAGCAAACAGGAUUAGAUACCCUGGUAGUCCACGCUGUAAACGAUGUGUGCUGGAUGUUGGGGGGUCUGACCCUUCAGUGUCGUAGCUAACGCGAUAAGCACACCGCCUGGGGAGUACGGCCGCAAGGUUGAA